CCCCUAGAUGUUCUGGGCCGCACGCGUGCUACACUGAACAGUUCAACAAGUCUUAACCUUGGCCGAUAGGUCUGGGUAAUCUUUGAACGCUGUUCGUGAUUGGGAUAGACCUUUGCAAUUAUGGGUCUUCAACGAGGAAUUCCUUGUAAUCGCAAGUCAUCAGCUUGCAUUGAUUACGUCCCUGCCCUUUGUACACACCGCCCGUCGCACCUACCGAUUGAAUGGUCCGGUGAAAUCUCGGGACGGCGGCUUGGUCGCUUGCGUCCGACUGCUGAAACUUGAUUAAACCAUAUCAUUUAGAGGAAGGUGAAGUCGUANCA
rnacentral:rRNA from 1 species